CUCGUAGGCGGUUCGUCGCGUCCGGUGUGAAAGUCCAUCGCCUAACGGUGGAUCUGCGCCGGGUACGGGCGGGCUGGAGUGCGGUAGGGGAGACUGGAAUUCCCGGUGUAACGGUGGAAUGUGUAGAUAUCGGGAAGAACACCAAUGGCGAAGGCAGGUCUCUGGGCCGUUACUGACGCUGAGGAGCGAAAGCGUGGGGGGCGAACA
rnacentral:rRNA from 1 species